GCGCGGGUGGCGAAAUUGGUAGACGCACCAGGUUUAGGUCCUGACGCCAGCAAUGGUGUGGGGGUUCGAGUCCCCCCCCCGCGCACCA
rnacentral:tRNA from 2 species